rnacentral:rRNA from 2 species
UACGUAGGGUGCAGGCGUUAAUCGGAAUUACUGGGCGUAAAGCGUGCGCAGGCGGUUUGUUAAGACAGGUGUGAAAUCCCCGGGCUUAACCUGGGAACUGCGCUUGUUACUGGCAGACUUGAGUGUGGCAGAGGGGGGUGGAAUUCCAGGUGUAGCAGUGAAAUGCGUAGAGAUCUGGAGGAACACCGAUGGCGAAGGCAGCCCCCUGGGUUAACACUGACGCUCAUGCACGAAAGCGUGGGGAGCAAACAGG